rnacentral:rRNA from 1 species
CCUACGGGAGGCAGCAGUGAGGAAUAUUGGUCAAUGGGCGGGAGCCUGAACCAGCCAAGUCGCGUGAGGGAAGACGGUCCUACGGAUUGUAAACCUCUUUUGCCGGGGAGCAACGUGGUCCUUGCGAGGUCCCACUGAGAGUACCCGUAGAAAAAGCCUCGGCUAACUCCUGUCCAGCAGCCGGGGUAAUACGGAGGAUGCGAGCGUUAUCCGGAUUUAUUGGGUUUAAAGGGUGCGUAGGCGGGCUGUUAAGUCGGCGGUAAGAGGUCGGGGCUCAACCCCGGCCGGCCGUUGAAACUGGCGGCCUGGAGUGGGCGAGAAGUAGGCGGAAUGCGUGGUGUAGCGGUGAAAUGCAUAGAUAUCACGCAGAACUCCGAUUGCGAAGGCAGCAUACCGGCGCCCGACUGACGCUGAGGCACGAAAGCGUGGGUAUCGAACAGGAUUAGAUACCCCAGUAGUC